CCUACGGGGGGCAGCAGUAGGGAAUUUUGCGCAAUGGGGGAAACCCUGACGCAGCAACGCCGCGUGAUCGAUGAAGCCCUUCGGGGUGUAAAGAUCUGUCAGUGGGGACGAAACCUGACGGUACCCACAGAGGAAGCACCGGCUAACUCCGUGCCAGCAGCCGCGGUAAUACGGGGGGUGCAAGCGUUGUCCGGAAUCAUUGGGCGUAAAGAGUUCGUAGGUGGCACGUUAAGUCUGGUGUUAAAGGCGGAAGCUCAACUUCCGUAGGGCACUGGAUACUGGCGAGCUUGAAUGCGGUAGAGGUAAAGGGAAUUCCUGGUGUAGCGGUGAAAUGCGUAGAUAUCAGGAGGAACCCCGAUUGCGAAGGCAGCCUUCCGGCGCCCUACUGACGCUGAGGCACGAAAGUGCGGGGAUCGAACAGGAUUAGAUACCCGUGUAGUC
rnacentral:rRNA from 1 species